GAUGAACGCUAGCGGCAGGCCUAACACAUGCAAGUCGAGGGGCAGCACAUAAAGUGGUUUACUACUUUUGGUGGCGACCGGCGGACGGGUGCGUAACGCGUAUGCAACCUGCCUCCAACAGGGGGAUAACGGAGAGAAAUUUCCACUAAUACCCCAUAAUAUCAGAAUCGGCAUCGGUUUUGGUUGGAAACUCCGGCGGUUGGAGAUGGGCAUGCGUUGUAUUAGAUAGUUGGUGAGGUAACGGCUCACCAAGUCAACGAUACAUAGGGGGACUGAGAGGUUAGCCCCCCACACUGGUACUGAGACACGGACCAGACUCCUACGGGAGGCAGCAGUGAGGAAUAUUGGUCAAUGGGGGCAACCCUGAACCAGCCAUGCCGCGUGCAGGAAGACGGCUCUAUGAGUUGUAAACUGCUUUUACAAGGGGAUAAAUCGGUGUACGUGUACACCGUUGAAGGUACCUUGGGAAUAAGGAUCGGCUAACUCCGUGCCAGCCGCCGCAGUAA
rnacentral:rRNA from 1 species